rnacentral:lncRNA from 1 species
AAUAUAAAAAAGAAGAUGUGUUAUGAUUGCCAAUGAGACAACUAUCCACAAAAGACCAAAAUGACACAGACAUUAACAACUAUAGGUCACCGUACGGCCUUCAACAAUGAGCAAAGCCCAUACCGCAUAGUCAGCUAUAAUAUGCCCCGAUAAGACAAUGUAAAACAAUUCAAACGAGAAAACUAACGGCCUUAUUUAUGUAAAAAAAUGAACGAAAAACAAAUAUGCAACACAUAAACAAACGACAACCACUGAAUUACAGGCUUCUGACUAGGGACAGGCACAUACAUAAAUAAUGUGGCGGGGUUAAACAUGUAAGCGGGAUCCCAACCCCCCCUAACCUGAGACAAUGGUAUAACAGUACAACAUAAGAAC